rnacentral:rRNA from 1 species
CUACGGGGCGCAGCAGUGAGGAAUAUUGCACAAUGGGGGAAACCCUGAUGCAGCAACGCCGCGUGGAGGAUGACGCAUUUCGGUGUGUAAACUCCUUUUAUCAGAGAAGAAAAUGACGGUAUCUGAUGAAUAAGCUCCGGCUAACUCCGUGCCAGCAGCCGCGGUAAUACGGAGGGAGCAAGCGUUAUUCGGAAUCACUGGGCGUAAAGGACGCGUAGGCGGGUUAUUAAGUCAGGUGUGAAAUCCAAUGGCUCAACCAUUGAACUGCACUUGAAACUGGUAACCUAGAGUAUGGAAGGGGCAGAUGGAAUUAGUGGUGUAGGGGUAAAAUCCGUAGAUAUCACUAGGAAUACCGAAAGCGAAGGCGAUCUGCUGGGACAUUACUGACGCUGAGGCGUGAAAGCGUGGGGAGCAAACAGGAUUAGAUACCCGAGUAGUC